rnacentral:rRNA from 1 species
UACGUAGGGACCAAGCGUUGUCCGGAAUCAUUGGGCGUAAAGCGCACGCAGGCGGCCGUGCACGUGGGGUGUGAAAGCGCUCGGCUUAACUGAGCGAUGCCACCUCAUACGGCAGGGCUCGAGCCCGUGAGAGGUCCACGGAAUUGCCGGUGUAGUGGUGAAAUACGUAGAGAUCGGCAGGAACACCCAGGGGGAAACCAGUGGACUGGCACGGUGCUGACGCUCAGGUGCGAAAGCGUGGGGAGCGAACCGG